UGCGCAGGCGGAAAAUUAAGUCAGUGGUGAAAUCUCACAGCUCAACUGUGAAACUGCCAUUGACACUGAUUUUCUUGAAUACGGUUGAGGUAGGCGGAAUACGUUAUGUAGCGGUGAAAUGCUUAGAUAUAACGUAGAACACCGAUUGCGAAGGCAGCUUACUAAACCGUUAUUGACGCUGAGUCACGAAAGCGUGGGGAGCGAACAGGAUUAGAUACCCUGGUAGUCC
rnacentral:rRNA from 1 species